GGUAUCUCCUCUCUGAUAAGGAGUUUUAAGGGAAGAAAGACAAAGAACGUGGUGAAGCAAUUCCAUGGGUACCUGGAGAAGGACUGAUCCAGGAAGAGAGCAUGGACAUGGAGGGUGUUCGGAAUUUCUGAGGACCAGCAAGAGGGACAGAUUGACUAGAACAGAAUAAAUGAAGGAGAAAUAUUAGGAGAUGGGAAUGGGCAGGGAUUCAAACCCAGGCAUCCUACUACAGAGCCUUGUUCUUAAAUAAUUCACACAGCAUAGAUGCCUGACUUUGAUUAUUUCCAUUUCCUUGAACUAGACUAUACUGCCUGUUGCCUGCAAUGAUAAAACGAAGAAAUAUUGUUCUGGGUUCUUAAAUGAAAACGCACUUUAUUGAGACUUGACUCAAGAAUUACAGAUAAAGAGAUGAAAAGAAAUACCUCCUGCCUCAGCCAUGAAGCCUUCACUGUAGAAACAACACAUGUGCUGACUGUCCCCUGGAACGGCCUCUCUCUUCAGGCCAACACAGUCCACUUUGGUUCUGCCAACCUGCUGACCAACCCCAACAGAUGGAAGGAAGGAAGAGAAAGCCGAGGUGCAGAUGACAUGGCUUAUGCAAUAUUUUUAUUGUGCCAGUAUUCAAAUGUAUUACAUUGAUUUGUUCUGACUGACAAUAAUGUGGAUGCUUUGAUAUCAGUGCGUUGGGUAUUAUCUUCAUUUUACAAAAGAGAAAAACAGACACUCAGACUAACCAAGUGACCUGGCCAAGGUCCCACUGUCACUCUUGACUAUGAAGUCAAAAUCCUUUACAGGGUUUAUCAGUCAGUGCCCUAGCAGGACACAGACAGCGUACUGAAAUUAGGAUAAUGUCAGGAGGGACUACUUAAAAUGGUGUGGAGAGUGUAGACGAACCACAAGGUAAAAUUCCUGUCCUUCUUAAGACUGGUGAGAGUGGAGCAGUUGCCACCAAUAGGCUGAUGAAAUAAGGGCAGAAAUGAUUACUCUGCGGGCUCCUAACCUUUUGUCACUCUGAUGAACUCCAAAGACCCUAUCUCAAGGGAAUGUCUUUAAAUGAAUUUAAUAAAAUACUAAUUACAGGGGGAGGAGCCAAGAUGGCCGAAUAGGAACAGCUCCGGUCU
rnacentral:lncRNA from 1 species